GACUCGGCGCCGGCUUCCGGCGCCGUAAGAGAAGCGUCCGCGCGGGCGUUCUGGACCCGCAGAGUUCUCGGCGUUUCCGAAGCUCUUGGUGUGGCCGGGACCCGGGAGAAGGAGCAGGGCUGGUGGGGCUGCUGCAGCCGGAAAUAAUCAUGGUGCUCAACAGUUUGGAUAAGAUGAUUCAACUCCAGAAAAACACUGCCAACAUCAGGAAUAUUUGUGUUUUGGCUCAUGUUGACCGUGGAAAAACUACUCUGGCUGACUGUCUUAUAUCUAGCAAUGGAAUCAUCUCCAGCCACCUAGCAGGCAAGUUAAGGUACAUGGACAGCAGAGAAGAUGAACAGAUCCGAGGGAUCACUAUGAAAUCCAGUGCCAUUUCCCUACAUUAUGCAACAGGUAAUGAGGAGUACCUGAUUAAUCUGAUAGACUCUCCAGGACACAUGGACUUUUCCUCAGACGUAUCAACCGCUGUUCGCAUUUGUGAUGGAUGCAUCAUUGUGGUAGAUGCUGUGGAAGGAGUCUGUCCACAGCCCAGAGAAUGGAGAGACUGAUGUGCACAGGAUCACAAACUUUUGACUCUCUUCCACCAGAAACUCAAGCACUGAAAGCAGCUUUUAUGAAAUGUGGAAGUGAGGACACUGCUCCAGUUAUCAUGUUUGUUUCCAAAAUGUUUGCAGUUGAUGCUAAGGCCUUGCCUCAGAAUAAGCCAAGGCCUCUCACUCAAGAAGAAAUUGCUCAGAGACGUGAGCGUGCAAGACAAAGGCAUGCAGAGAAGCUUGCAGCAGCGCAGGGACAGGCACCCUUGGAGCCCACCCAAGAUGGGAGUGCCAUUGAAACAUGUCCAAAAGGAGAGGAGCCAAGAGGUGACGAGCAACAGGUGGAAAGUAUGACCCCCAAACCUGUGCUCCAGGAAGAAAACAACCAAGAGUCUUCUAUUGCAUUUGCUCGGGUGUUCAGUGGUGUGGCUCGAAGAGGAAAGAAAAUUUUUGUCUUGGGGCCCAAAUACAGUCCUCUUGAGUUUUUACGAAGGGUACCAUUAGGCUUCUCAGCUCCACCAGAUGGCCUCCCCCAAGUCCCCCACAUGGCAUACUGUGCUCUGGAAAACCUGUAUCUUCUGAUGGGAAGGGAACUGGAAUAUCUAGAGGAGGUACCUCCAGGAAAUGUGCUAGG